CUGACUGUGGAAUUUUUGUCAAAACAAGUACAUCAAGACACUUAGAGCAGACAUUAUUACAGCCAUUUUUAUCAUAGUUUAGAAAGCAGACAACAGGAUUCCCUAUUAUGUCGGAGAGAAUAAAACCUCAUGCAGUGGCGGAUCCAGGAAAUCCAUUGUGGGGAGGGUGAUAUGUGACCGAAGACUACAAACGAUCCCGAAAUGAUUCCUCGGAUUAUUCAACGUUAAAAAAAUAAAAUAAAAUAUAAAAAAAUACUAUAAAAAGAACUAUAAUCAAACAAUAUAAAAUAAAAUUACAAAAUUUGUAAAAA